UACGUAGGGCGCAAGCGUUGUCCGGAAUUAUUGGGCGUAAAGAGCUCGUAGGCGGUUUGUCGCGUCUGCUGUGAAAACUCGAGGCUCAACCUCGGGCUUGCAGUGGGUACGGGCAGACUAGAGUGCGGUAGGGGUGACUGGAAUUCCUGGUGUAGCGGUGAAAUGCGCAGAUAUCAGGAGGAACACCGAUGGCGAAGGCAGGUCUCUGGGCCACUACUGACGCUGAGAAGCGAAAGCGUGGGGGAGCGAACAGG
rnacentral:rRNA from 1 species